GGCCCCAUGGUCUAGCGGUUCAGGACAUCACUCUUUCAAGGUGAAGAUAUGGGUUCAACUCCCAUUGGGGCCA
rnacentral:tRNA from 1 species